UCUCUCCUCCUGCUACCAUAGCAGGGACUGACAUUUUGGAGAAUUGAUUCAUCGCUACAUUAAGUAAUGCAGUAAUCAAUUACUCAAACAAUUUCUCGGGGAAAACAGAAGCAUUUUAAAAGAGGCAUUAAUGUCACUAUUGGAGGAAUAAAAUGGUUUGGUUGCAAUGUGAGCUGUAUCUGACUGGGAGCGCUCUGAGCCUCUGCUCAGUCGGUAACUUACCCGAGCAGCACAGUGAAGUGGAAGGUCUCUUUUUCACGCUACCAUUUUCAUCCCAUUUAAUCGAAUUCCCCACUAUUGUUAUCACAUCUACAAAACAAUUCUGUGGUGAGGUUACCCAGAAAGUGAGCUUGCAUCUGCUCUCACGGGGGAGUGGGAAGAGCAGCUGUGGACAAAGAAGACAGUGUGAGGACCACAGAGUAGGAGAUGAAAGGUACAUGCUUAUGGAAGGAGACCAAUCUGGGACUGUAGCACCACAAUCUGGCCCGUCAUUUGGAUGUCGUUACUGAGUUGAUUCCAGGUGUCGCUUAUUUCCCCCAGUGUAUUUAUCCCUGUGUUUCCUGUCUCUCUGACCGGUGAGUGGGCCAGGAGAAACAUGAAGAGCUGCUGUGACAUGUGUAGUAUAGACCAGAGCUGUAUAGGAGACACUCACCAG